AGUGAACGCUGGCGGCAGGCCUAACACAUGCAAGUCGAACGGCAGCACAGUAAGAGCUUGCUCUUACGGGUGGCGAGUGGCGGACGGGUGAGGAAAACAUCGGAAUCUACUUUUUCGUGGGGGAUACGUAGGGAAACUUACGCUAAUACCGCAUACGACCUACUGGUGAAAGCAGGGGAUCUUCGGACCUUGCGCGAUUGAAUGAGCCGAUGUCGGAUUAGCUAGUUGGCGCGGUAAAGGCCCACCAAGGCGACGAUCCGUAGCCGGUCUGAGAGGAUGAACCGCCACACGGUAUGAGAGGCUGAGUGCAGACACCGGCAGGGAGCAACAGUGGAGAAUCUUAGGGGAUGCAGGCGAGCCUAAUCCAGCCAAACCGCGUAAAUUAUGAUGGCGUUACGGUGGGAGAGCCCAUAAGUUGUGAGGGAAGUACAGCAGUAUAAUACGCCACGAUUAUGACGGUACCCAAAGAAUAAGCACCGGCUAACUUCGUG
rnacentral:rRNA from 1 species